UCGAGGCUGCAGUGAGCCCUUAUUGUGCCACUGUACUCCAACCUGAGAGUUUUUUGUUUUUUUUUUUUAAUAGUUUUGCUAGAUAACUCUCCAUUCCCACCCUCCCAAUAUGUCUGACACCACAGACUAUACUCAUUCCUUUGCUAUUUGCAAGUUUAUAGUAGCCUGCCGCAACUGCCUCAUCCACAGAUAUAAUUUUCUUCAUUGUCUUUUGGAAUGCAUUUAACCAGUAAGCUUCUUUUAACCGAUAAAAACAUCUAGAUUUUGUAUUUUGCAUAACAUUGAUAUUCCUUUAUAGUUCAUAUUGGAUGAAAUGUCUUGAACACAAGCAAGUUAUCUUUUUUUUUUCCAUUCUGUAUGCCAGACUUUUAAAGAAAGAAUCUGCGUUGAGUUCAACUUUGGCUGCUUGCUCUUCUGCUGUGAGUAGCAGUUUUCAAUCAAGUUUCCAGUGGCAGCACCAGUGGGGAAAGUCUGCAUUUUUUUAAGAUGACCGUGACCGACCUCACUCCUAGAGCUAUUGGAUUCCAGCCUGUUUUGGGGGAGUUUAUUAUUUUGGUUAUUACUUAAAGCACUUAAGUCUUCUGAAUCUCACUGAGUUUUUUGUUUUGACUUUUCAAAUGUUCUUCACAACUCUUUUGUAGGAAAUUUAAAAUGUUAUACCCAGAACUGUACAAGUACUUUACUAGUGAGAUUAAACUAAAUGUAACAAUGCAACAACAGAUCAAAAGCACACUAAGAUUUCACUUGUGUCAGUUUUGAAAACCCUAGACCUCUUACAGCAGCCACAGACUUGUUUCCUUUCAUGCAGUUCCCCUUAAAAAGCAAUUUACAGUUGUUUUUUUUCAAUCCUCCGUAGAUUCUGCUAAAUUCGGAAGAAAUUGCAUGCAAUCCCUGGCUUUGUUCCAGAAGUUAAUUUGUGAAUGAAUGAAAGCCAUGAUCUUUGUCUUGAUAAAAAAUUACCUAUAUACUUGGAGAUGCCUAUGUGUCCCCUUCCCAGAGCUAACCACUCUUCUGGAUUUGGUGUUUACCAUUCUCAUCAUGCUAUUAUACUAUUACUGCAUAUGUUAAUAAACAGCAUAUAGCAUAA